GACAGAGGGGGCAAGCGUUGCUCGGAAUUACUGGGCGUAAAGGGCGCGUAGGCGGGAUGGCAAGUCGGUCGUGAAAUCCUUCGGCUCAACCGAAGAACGUCGAUCGAUACUGCUGUUCUUGAGGGUUGCAGAGGAGACUGGAAUUCCCGGUGUAGCGGUGAAAUGUGUAGAGAUCGGGAGGAACACCGGUGGCGAAGGCGGGUCUCUGGGCAGUUCCUGACACUGAGACACGAAGGCCAGGGGAGCAAACGGG
rnacentral:rRNA from 1 species